GACGAACGCUGGCGGCGUGCCUAAUACAUGCAAGUCGAACGCUUCUUUCCUCCCGAGUGCUUGCACUCAAUUGGAAAGAGGAGUGGCGGACGGGUGAGUAACACGUGGGUAACCUACCCAUCAGAGGGGGAUAACACUUGGAAACAGGUGCUAAUACCGCAUAACAGUUUAUGCCGCAUGGCAUAAGAGUGAAAGGCGCUUUCGGGUGGCGUUGAUGGAUGGACCCGCGGUGCAUUAGCUAGUUGGUGAGGUAACGGCUCACCAAGGCAACGAUGCAUAGCCGACCUGAGAGGGGGAUCGGCCACACUGGGACUGAGACACGGCCCAGACUCCUACGGGAGGCAGCAGUAGGGAAUCUUCGGCAAUGGACGAAAGUCUGACCGAGCAACGCCGCGUGAGUGAAGAAGGUUUUCGGAUCGUAAAACUCUGUUGUUAGAGAAGAACAAGGACGUUAGUAACUGAACGUCCCCUGACGGUAUCUAACCAGAAAGCCACGGCUAACUACGUG
rnacentral:rRNA from 1 species